UGUCCGAUGGUGUAACUGGCAACACGUCUGAUUUUGGUUCAGAAGAGUUCAGGUUCGAAACCUGAUCGGACAA
rnacentral:tRNA from 1 species